GACGAACGCUGGCGGCGUGCUUAACACAUGCAAGUCGAACGGAAAGGCCCUGCUUUUAGGGUUCUCGCGUGGGGAACGGGCGAGUGAGACACGGGUGGACAGCCCUCCUCUUCGGGAUAAGUCUGGGCAACAGGGUGUAAUAACGGCUAGGUGAUAUUUUUAGUCUGAUGGUUGGAUAGUUUUUUAGGUGUUGGCUGUGCCUGCGGCCUAUCGGCUUGUUGGGGGGGUUAUGGCCUACCAAGGCGGCGACGGGUAGCCGGCCUGCGAGGGUGGCCGGCCACAAUGGGACUGAGGGGAGGCCCAGACAGCGACGGGAGGCAGCAGGGGGGAAGAUUGCACAAGGGGCGCAAGCCUGGUGCAGCGGCGCCGCGUGGCGGAAGACGGCCUUAGGGUUGAAGAACCCAUUCGCAAGGGACGAAGCAUGUUGUGACGGUACCUAGAUAAGAAGCACCGGCUAACUACGUG
rnacentral:rRNA from 1 species